UUGGGCACUGACUCCAGAUCCAGCCUGAGCCAGUCGUGACAAUUCCAUUCCUCUGCCAAGAAUCAUUUUAGAAAACAGGUUUAAGCCAAUCCGUGCAUGGCAUUUCCCUGGUGACAGUUCUUGGUUCAGGAGCAAGUAUAUUCAGUAAGUUAUUCCAAAGAGAUUGAAGGAGGGGGGCGUUUAAUUCUGCAGUUAGAUAAGAGACUCUCUCUCCUACCUGUCAUGAAUAUUGUCCCAGUUGGCAACCGCUUGCCUCUGUAAGAAUUGAGCUCUCAAAUGGAGGACAGAGUGAGGAAAUAAAAAAGCCUGAACUUCCGAAUCUUCACUUACGUGAGCCGACAAAAAUCCUUUAUAGUUGAAGCCCUCUUGAGACAAACAUCCUAUUACUUGCUGCCAAGAGCAUAUUAACUUUUCGUAAUCUUUUCUCCCUGUGUCUCACCCCCAAUAAUAUUCACACAAAUCAGCCGUGUGCUAGAAAUUUUCUUGAGAUGGGGGUUUAUAUCUCAGAACCAUACAACAUGUAAUUUAUGAUUGACUAUUGGAUAUAAUAUUUUUCUUUAGUCGUUUCUGUCUACAUUCUUAUUUCCUAAGAGUCAUUUGGUUUUAAGUAGAUUUUUGCUGUAAAGGAUCCACUGAAAAGAAGCAGUAACAGGUGUUUCAGGAAAACGAUAAGGAGCUAUCAAAGCGGGAUAUGGAAAAGCUGUGUAAGGACGUCAUCCUGGAGACCGCCUGCAAAUAGAGCCAUCAGCUUGUAGGAAAAGGCACCUGGGCUCCAAGUCUUAAGGGUCUGCAAGCUCUGAGUGGGUGUGCCCGUCCUGGGGAAAAGGGCUCAGGGAGGUAGCUUUAUUUCGUCUGAGGUCUCACUGUGUUCCAGAUUUGGGGAGAUUGGGGAUAAAGAAUUAAAGAUUUCUUGUUGCCGCUGGUUGCAAGAGGCUCAAAAUGAACUCCUCGGAUGUCGAGCGCAGCAACGGCAAAGCCGAGAACCUUGUCUGCAGCACGCUGGUGAAAGUGAAUGGUGGUCUGCUCUGGAUUGGGAGAUCAUGUGAUCAUUACAGAGCCAUCCUAUAGCAAGGACCGGGAGGCAUCAGGCGCAUAGCAGGAAGGUGAGAAAGGCCCUUCCCUGAGGCCCUUGAGCCCCUGGCUAGAUCCCUGGCAGGACUACUGGGAGCAGCCUCUACCUUUUCAGUGUCCUUCAGGAUGGGUCAGAUGCAGGAGAGAAGCUGUUAGAAGUGUAGCCACCCGUACCUGUGGGCCAUGAGAGCCAGAAUAGCCAGUGUUUGCACAUAAGCCAAUAGUCCAUCUAAGUGGUACUGCCUUAGGAGUUUACUCAAUUUUUUCAACGUGUUGCCAUCAUUAUCAACAAAACCAUCAUCUUGACAGUAUCUCUGCACUUCUUAGCACCUACGACUUGACACUUUUGUAUGCCCACAGAGGUGUGUAUAUGACUCUGAAAUCUGUUCCCCUCACUAGAAAGUAAGCUUCAUGAGGACCAAGACUUUGAGUGCUUUGCUCGUUACUGUUACCACUGUGCCUGGAACAACAGUGACUGCACUCUAGGUGUCCAAU
ensembl:lncRNA